rnacentral:lncRNA from 1 species
AAUUUUAUACUAUUUCAACUCUAACCAUUUCACCUGCGGACAUUAACGUAAUAUUUUUGUCCUUAGAUAGAGUGCAACAUGCAACACUCAUUGUUAUGUGAAUACGUAUUGCUUGUGUAUAUAUGUGCGUAGAAACGCUUCGUUGAAGUUUAAGAGAACAUUUAUUGAAUCGUUUGUGUAUAUGUGUUUUUCUAUGUGCCCGUGGCUGUGAUUGUUUCGCUGUUCUGGCAGCAACCAUAGUGUCUUAUAAUCUUGUGGGAGGUGUAUACACGUUAGUUAUGUUUAUAAUACAUAGCUUUUUAUUACGUAUCUAUAAACACACGGGCUAAUAUACAAAAUAUUCUCACUUAUAAUAUGUGUAUGGAACCCAGAAUAAUACGUGCACUCUGACAAAUACACACAUAUCGACAUAUCCGUAUCUAUCUAUAAAUUUAUCUAUAUGUAUGUGUGUGUAUAGACAUAUCCAUACAUACACAUGCACACACACACACACACAUACACACAUAUAUAUAUAUAUAUAUAUAUAUACAUACUUACACAUAUUUUACCCGAAGAGACAAACACACACACACACACACACACACACACAACACACACACGGGCACACAUAUCUCUUUGGUGGGAUAUGAAAGGUUUAGUACACAUUAAACUUUUAAACGCAGACCAGACGAUAACAAAGGAGUUCUACUGCGACCACCUUGAACGCCUUAAGUCAGCGCUUGAAGAAAGACGACCCCCCUUGGUUUCAAGACGAAAGGUUAUCUUCCUUGAGAAUGAUGUGCAGCAACAUACAGCGAAGAUGACAUUCAAAAGGUUGAGGUUUUUUUAUAUACUUUACCUUGUCAAAUUGAAGAUAAACAAAGUUCGUUUCUAAUCUAAAAUAUACUCUCCACCAUUUUCUCCACAGCUCUUCCAUUUAUCUCGAAUAUUUGUAAGAACUCUCUUCCAAAGUUCACUUGCCCAUGACGAAAAAUUCUUCUCCAAUACUGUUCCGUCCAAAUGAUUUUGAAAACUGCAGAAUCAAUGAUAAUCUAGAUGGAGCAAUGUCCAGCGAAUAUGCUGGGUGGGGCAUCGUUUCCCAUUCAAACUGUUCAGCCUUUCGAAUGUCAUCUUCGCUGUAUGUUGCUGCACAUCAUUCUUAAGGAAGAUAACCUUUCGUCUUGAAACCAAGGAUGGUCGUUUUUCUUUCAGGCGCUCAAGGUGGUCGCAGUAGAACUCCUUUGUUAUCAUCUGGUUUGGGUUUUAAAUUUUAAUGUGUACUAAACCUUUCAUAUCCCACCAAAGAGAUAACGUCCCCAUAUAUCGGUGAAAACUUGCUUCAGCCUGGGGUGCCGGCGUUUCGCCUUUCGCUACCCAGUGUCUUCAUCGAUUGACAUUUUUUUUUGUAGAGAAUCCAUUUGUAGACAUCAGUCACUGUAAAGUCCGAAAAUAGUUCAUUCAUGAGACGUGACAGAAAAGAGCCAAUAUUCAGUCUCUGCCUGUGAGUAGACAUGGAAAGUUUACAAGGAAACGAUUAACCCAAUAUGUUGACUUACCCAGUGGCACGCAGGUGUCGAUGAAUGGUUGAAUGAGGAAAUCCAAGCUUCUCUGCUAGCUCUUCAACAGUUACAAUGGGAUUUUGUUCCACCAGGGUUUGCAGGGCGUCAUCAUCGCCCGCUGGAAAUCUUGCAGGACGAGGUUCGUUUACUUGGCUUUAGUCUCCGGAUCGGAAUUUCUGCAACCAGCGUUGCACAUUCCGUUGCGUUGUAGCAUUUAUUGAACUUAUAAAAAAAAAAUAUAAGGAAUAUGCUCUUUUGUAACUUCCAUUCGAGUAUGGAUAAAAAAAACUGUUAAAAUCGAACUGCACUCUGCAAAACUUGCACCAAGGAAAAAUUAUUACCCGCUUUUAUAGCAAGUUGAUGCAGUAUUUUACCAUCGUCCUCAUCCACCCUUUAGUCAAUGGAAAUGAAAGAACCGCAUCAUUUAUGGGAUGAACCAAUAUAUAUAUAUAUAUAUAUAUAUAUAUAUAUAUAUAUAUAUAUAUAUAUAUAUAUAUAUAUAUAUAUAUAUAUAUAUGUUUUUCCAUAUAUAUAUAUAUAUAUAUAUAUAUAUAUAUUAAUGUGUAUGUCUCUGUAUGUUUACGAAUGCAUAUUUAUAAAUAUGUAUGUACGUAUUAUGUGCAUGGAAUGAUGGAUGAUAGGUCGUGUAUUUAUGCAUGGGGCUGUGUAGGUGUAUAUGUGCUUGUGUGUAGCGGUCUGUCCAUUAACACGUCUUUAAUGUCGGGGUGAAACUUUGUUUGGCUGAAAGAUAUAAGUCGAAAUUGAAUCAUGUUACUCUUCACACUUGUGACGCAUGUGACGUCACAACCACAGAAAGGCACAUCGCAUUCACUCCACAAUCACAUAGAUACUCUCACUGAUAUUGUUAUGCAGCUUCCAUUCCUUUUAUUCCGCAAUAAACCUAGUUUCAUGCAUCAAUUUCCUUCUUGUAUUAAACGAAUUCGCAAACAUAGAAAUACUCA